ensembl:processed_transcript
AAAUUAUAAUAUAAAAUAUUAGCAGCCAAUGACUAUCUAAGCACAACAUUGUUCACAGUCAAAUAAAUAUUGCUAAUGUUGUUUUGAAGCCGUGUGACUGAAUAUUCAAAGUACCAUCCCAGCCGGCACACGACCGACCUUCAACGUUGAAAUAUGGUUGAAAUAAGGUCAGAUGUGUUUUGAACGUUGAAAUAAUGUUGAUAGAACGUUUAAUGUUGAACGGUUGAAAAACAGCCUGCAUAUGACAAGGCUUCAACGUUGAAAUGUGGUUGAAAAUACGUCAGUAGUUGCUUUAAUGUUGAAACAAUGUUGAAUGAUAAAUGGUUGAAAAAAGUUACAGAAAUCCUUGUACAAAUCAACGUUGACAUUUUUUUUAUCAUGGUCUGUAUGUUGAAUUAACGUCAUGGCUUCACCCAAUAUUCAACAUGUUUGGUUACCAUGGUAUCGGAAGACUCGGCGCACGCGGCCACGCGCAGCGCUUCACUUCACUUAAUUACGAACACCUGACCUGCAGUGCAGCAGAAUUCAGAGACAUGUAACUUACUCCAGAGACGCACUAACUUGCACAGCAUUGAAUGGAAAAGGCUUUGCCCAUGUCCAGUUGAGGGGCAUCAAGAACACGCAGAUAGCCUACCUGGACAGACUGCAGUUCUGCUACUCCAUGCCAAGGCUUUUGUAUGGAUGUCUGACUACUACUGUGUUCUCUAAAGGUUUUUGGAAGCUCCAUUUGAGGGCAUCAAGGACAUACUGAUGGCCUAAACCAGUGUCAGCCUAGACAGACAGACAUCUAUUGCAGUUCUGCUACACAAGACCAAACUCUCUGCUUUUGUAUGGAUGUCUGACUAGUACGGUGUUCUCUAAAGGUAUAACUGGAGCAAAACAAUAGCAUCCGUUACAGUGAAAUUUGUGUUCAUAAAAGAUAGUGAUAUAUGUGUAACAGGUCCAGAACAUUUGUCAUAAAGGUUAAAUCACAGUAAGUACUGUAAAAAUAACUUGUUUGCCACAACAGGUCAUGGUGUGUGCUUACUGCUCGUAGUAAACACACAUGCUGAUCUGAUGCGGGAGAGAUAUACGCAAACACAUUUGUAUUUACUGUUUUGUUUUGCCUCACUAAAGUGUUGUUGGAGCUUGGUAUGUUCACAGUUGAAAUCACUGAAGUCACAUGGAACGUUUUGACAAUGUGUUUUGUGCCUUAUCUUGACAAUGACCAUCUUGGGACCAUUGCUGUCUGUAGAGGAUGAGGAGCAUUUAAUCAAAAAUAUUUUAGUUUGUGUUCUGAAGAUUAACAGGUCUCUGGGAUGACACAAGUAAUUAAUAACAGAACCUAUAUGAACACUUAAUAUGACAUGUAAUAGUGAAAUAGUGGUCCUACAUUCACAAAUGUGAGCCAUUAUUAUAAGACCCAUGUGAACAUGCAAUUUUUAUGAUACUACUAAUAAUAAUGGAAUAACAAAUUGCUUUUACUGUUGUGUUUGUGAGAGAGAAUAUUCUACACAUUUUCUUGAUGAUUUACUGAAAUAUUUGUCUACAUGUUCCACUGUCACAGGUGCUCAGUUUUGCUGCAGUAAUGCUAAACACAUUAGAUGUACUUUAUGCAAAAAAAAAAAAAAACUACUAAAUAUUUAGCAUGUAGACCUGCAAAGUGAAGGAGUAAUGUCAGGAUUAGAUUAUAGCAUGAGUUUUCACUAUUGUGAAAGUAAAGCCAUUCAUUCACAAUGAAUUGGAAUAGCAAACCUCAUUAUUGAUUUUGUAGGAAACUCACCUGGUGUUUGAGAAAUAAAUAUGUAUUUAAGUGCUAGACUGAUAUAGAUGUUUUAGUGUUUUACACUUGAUUCUUUGUCCUCAGUGCCAUCUUUUACCUCGUGUUUCUCUCAACCUAUAAAACCUCAAACAGAUGUAAUGUAU